CGCUAUCAUCCUACGGGGAGGCAGCAGUGGGGGAAUAUUGCACAAUGGGCGCAAGCCUGAUGCAGCCAUGCCGCGUGUGUGAAGAAGGCCUUCGGGUUGUAAAGCACUUUCAGUCGUGAGGAAGGUAGUGUAGUUAAUAGCUGCAUUAUUUGACGUUAGCGACAGAAGAAAGCACCGGCUAACUCCGUGCCAGCAGCCGCGGUAAUACGGAGGGUGCGAGCGUUAAUCGGAAUUACUGGGCGUAAAGCGCAUGCAGGUGGUUUGUUAAGUCAGAUGUGAAAGACCCGGGGCUCAACCUCGGAAUUGCAUUUGAAACUAGGCAGACUAGAGUACUGUAGAGGGGGGUAGGAAUUUCAGGUGUAGCGGUGAAAUAGCGUAGAGAUCUGAAGGAAUACCGGUGGCGAAGGCGGCCCCCUCGGACAGAUACUGACACUCAGAUGCGAAAGCGUGGGGAGCAAACAGGAUUAGAUACCCUGGUAG
rnacentral:rRNA from 1 species